CAUUCAGUAGCCUAGCUACUUGUUUAUACCCUUGUUUUUUGCGUACCUAUUGUUUCCUCGGCGGGCUUGCUCGCCGGUUGGACAAAAAUUACAACCUUUUUAAAUCUUCAAUCAGCGUCUGAAUUAUACAUAAUAAUUA
rnacentral:misc_RNA from 1 species